AAAGAAGAAUCGCAAGAUUCUAUUUUUUUAAAGUUUUACUACUACUUUUUGUAGGAGUAGAGCUUUUUCCACACUCUUUAAUAUUAAAAAUCGUCUUUUGACGAUAUCAAAUAAUUAAUAAUAAACA
rnacentral:misc_RNA from 1 species